GGUAAAAACCAUGUGUUUGACCACCAUUUUCAUGCUGACAUGUGCUGCCUUUAUUCAAGGAUCAAGCAGUCAGGUCACUGUGACUCAGACUCCUUCAAUGAAAACUGUCAAUGUAGGAGAAUCAGUGAGUCUGGGAUGCAAACUGAGUCAACCUGCUUAUGCUUCUGGCAGCACUACCUAUGUCUCCUGGUACCAACAGAAACCUGGAGAAACUACUAAACUCCUCAUUUACAAGACAAGCAGUCUUCAGUCAGGAACUCCAUCGAGGUUUAGUGGCAGUGGGUCUGGGACUGACUUCACCAUGACCAUCAGUGGAGUCCAGGCUGAGGAUACAGCAGUUUACUACUGUCAGAGUUACCACUAUAUCAAUAGUCAGUAUGAGUUCACACGGUGA